AACGAACGCUGGCGGCGUGCUUAACACAUGCAAGUCGAACGCACCGCAAGGUGAGUGGCGCACGGGUGAGUAACGCGUGGGAAUCUACCUUUUGAUUCGGAAUAACAUCGGGAAACUGGUGCUAAUACCGGAUAAGCCCUUCGGGGGCAAGAUUUAUCGUCAAAAGAUGAGCCCGCGUUGGAUUAGCUAGUUGGUGAGGUAACGGCUCACCAAGGCGACGAUCCAUAGCUGGUCUGCGAGGAUGAUCAGCCACACUGGGACUGAGACACGGCCCAGACUCCUACGGGAGGCAGCAGUGGGGAAUAUUGGACAAUGGGGGCAACCCUGAUCCAGCAACGCCGCGUGAGUGAUGAAGGUCUUCGGAUUGUAAAGCUCUUUUGGCAGGGACGAUGAUGACGGUACCUGCAGAAUAAGCUCCGGCUAACUUCGUGCCAGCAGCCGCUGUAA
rnacentral:rRNA from 1 species